CCUACGGGUGGCAGCAGUGAGGAAUAUUGGUCAAUGGACGAGAGUCUGAACCAGCCAAGUAGCGUGAAGGAUGACUGCCCUAUGGGUUGUAAACUUCUUUUAUAUGGGAAUAAAAUGUUCCACGUGUGGGAUUUUGUAUGUACCAUAUGAAUAAGGAUCGGCUAACUCCGUGCCAGCAGCCGCGGUAAUACGGAGGAUCCGAGCGUUAUCCGGAUUUAUUGGGUUUAAAGGGAGCGUAGGUGGAUUGUUAAGUCAGUUGUGAAAGUUUGCGGCUCAACCGUAAAAUUGCAGUUGAAACUGGCAGUCUUGAGUACAGAAGAGGUGGGCGGAAGUCGUGGUGUAGCGGUGAAAUGCUUAGAUAUCACGAAGAACUCCGAUUGCGAAGGCAGUUCACUGGACUGCAACUGACACUGAGGCUCGAAAGUGUGGGUAUCAAACAGGAUUAGAUACCCCAGUAGUC
rnacentral:rRNA from 1 species